UACGGGGGGGGUAAGCGUUGUUCGGAAUUACUGGGCGUAAAGGGCUCGUAGGCGGCCAACUAAGUCAUACGUGAAAUCCCUCAGCUUAACUGGGGAACUGCGUCUGAUACUGGAUGGCUUGGAUUCGGGAGAGGAAUGCGGAAUUCCAGGUGUAGCGGUGAAAUUCGUAGAUAUUAGGAAGAACACCAGUGGCGAAGGCGGCUCACUGGUCCGGUACUGACGCUGAGGUGCGAAAGCGUGGGGAGCAAACAGG
rnacentral:rRNA from 1 species